rnacentral:rRNA from 1 species
AUUGAACGCUGGCGGCAGGCCUAACACAUGCAAGUCGAGCGGAUGACGGGAGCUUGCUCCUCGAUUCAGCGGCGGACGGGUGAGUAAUACCUAGGAAUCUGCCUGAUAGUGGGGGACAACGUUUCGAAAGGAACGCUAAUACCGCAUACGUCCUACGGGAGAAAGCAGGGGACCUUCGGGCCUUGCGCUAUCAGAUGAGCCUAGGUCGGAUUAGCUAGUUGGUGAGGUAAUGGCUCACCAAGGCGACGAUCCGUAACUGGUCUGAGAGGAUGAUCAGUCACACUGGAACUGAGACACGGUCCAGGCUCCUACGGGAGGCAGCAGUGGGGAAUAUUGGACAAUGGGCGAAAGCCUGAUCCAGCCAUGCCGCGUGUGUGAAGAAGGUCUUCGGAUUGUAAAGCACUUUAAGUUGGGAGGAAGGGCAGUAAGCUAAUACCUUGCUGUUUUGACGUUACCGACAGAAUAAGCACCGGCUAACUCUGUGCCAGCCGCCGCAGUAACAC